rnacentral:rRNA from 1 species
AGAACGAACGCUGGCGGCAUGCCUAACACAUGCAAGUCGAACGAUGAAGCCUUUCGGGGUGGAUUAGUGGCGAACGGGUGAGUAACACGUGGGCAACCUGCCCUCCACUCUGGGAUAACUCCGGGAAACCGGGGCUAAUACUGGAUAUGACCUUCCGGCGCAUGCUGGUGGGUGGAAAGUUUUUUCGGUGGAGGAUGGGCCCGCGGCCUAUCAGCUUGUUGGUGGGGUGAUGGCCUACCAAGGCGGUGACGGGUA